ACAACAAUAAGCGGAGAAAAGAAACCAACAGGGAUGCCCUAGUAACGGCGAGUGAAGCGGCAACAGCUCAAAUUUGAAAUCUGGCCUUCUGGUCCGAAUUGUAAUUUGUAGAGGAUGCUUUGGGCGCGGUGCCUUCCGAGUUCCUUUGGAACAGGACGCCUUAGAGGGUGAGAGGCCCCGUACGGUUGGACACCAAGCCUAUGUAAAGCUCCUUCGACGAGUCGAGUAGUUUGGGAAUGCUGCUCUAAAUGGGAGGUAAAUUUCUUCUAAAGCUAAAUACCGGCCAGAGACCGAUAGCGCACAAGUAGAGUGAUCGAAAGAUGAAAAGUACUUUGAAAAGAGGGUUAAAUAGCACGUGAAAUUGUUGAAAGGGAAGCAUUUAUGACCAGACCUUUGCUAGGUGGAUCAUCCGGUGUUCUCACCGGUGCACUUCGCCUAGCUUAGGCCAGCAUCGAUUUCUGUAGGGGGAUAAAGGUCUAGGGAACGUAGCUCUCUACGGAGAGUGUUAUAGCCCUGGGCGUAAUACCUUUACGGGGAUCGAGGUUCGCGCUUCGGCAAGGAUGCUGGCAUAAUGGUCAUCAAUGACCCGUCUUGAAACACGGACCAAGGAGUCGAACAUUUAUGCGAGUGUUUGGGUGUUAAACCCUCACGCGUAAUGAAAGUGAACGGAGGUGAGAGCCCUUAAGGGUGCAUCAUCGACCGAUCCUGAUGUCUUCGGAUGGAUUUGAGUAAGAGCAUAACUGUUCGGACCCGAAAGAUGGUGAACUAUGCGUGGAUAGGGUGAAGCCAGAGGAAACUCUGGUGGAGGCUCGCAGCGGUUCUGACGUGCAAAUCGAUCGUCAAAUCUGCGCAUGGGGGCGAAAGACUUAUCGAACCCAUCUAGUAGCUGGUACCGCAGUU
rnacentral:rRNA from 1 species